rnacentral:tRNA from 1 species
GCGAUAGUCGUAUAAUGGUAGUAUAUAGGACUGUGGAUCCUGUGGAGGGAGUCCGAUUCUCCCCUAUCGCC